CCUACGGGAGGCAGCAGUGAGGAAUAUUGGUCAAUGGCCGGAAGGCUGAACCAGCCAUGCCGCGUGAAGGUCAGUGCCCUAUGGGCGUUAAACUUCUUUUGUGCGGGAGCAAUAAUGGUCACGUGUGGCCAGACGAGAGUACCGUACGAAUAAGCAUCGGCUAACCCCGGGCCAGCAGCCGCGGUAAAACUGGGGAGGCAAGCGUUAUCCGGAUUUAUUGGGUUUAAAGGGUGCGUAGGCUGUGAGGUAAGUCAGGGGUGAAAUGCCCCCGCUCAACGGGGUGAAGUGCCAUUGAUACUGCCUUGCUUGAAUGCGGAUGCCGUGGGAGGAAUGUGUGGUGUAGCGGUGAAAUGCAUAGAUAUCACACAGAACACCGAUUGCGAAGGCAUCUCACGAAUCCGCGAUUGACGCUGAUGCACGAAAGCGUGGGUAUCAAACAGGAUUAGAUACCCCAGUAGUC
rnacentral:rRNA from 1 species